AAUGAACGCUGGCGGCAUGCCUAACACAUGCAAGUCGAACGAGACCUUCGGGUCUAGUGGCGCACGGGUGCGUAACGCGUGGGAAUCUGCCCUUGGGUUCGGAAUAACUCGCCGAAAGGCGUGCUAAUACCGGAUGAUGACGUAAGUCCAAAGAUUUAUCGCCCAAGGAUGAGCCCGCGUAGGAUUAGCUAGUUGGUGGGGUAAAGGCCCACCAAGGCGACGAUCCUUAGCUGGUCUGAGAGGAUGUUCAGCCACACUGGGACUGAGACACGGCCCAGACUCCUACGGGAGGCAGCAGUGGGGAAUAUUGGACAAUGGGCGAAAGCCUGAUCCAGCAAUGCCGCGUGAGUGAUGAAGGCCUUAGGGUUGUAAAGCUCUUUUACCCGGGAUGAUAAUGACAGUACCGGGAGAAUAAGCCCCGGCUAACUCCGUGCCAGCCGCCGCGGUAA
rnacentral:rRNA from 1 species